rnacentral:rRNA from 1 species
CAGCCGCCGCGGUAAUACCAGCCCCGCGAGUGGUCGGGACGGUUAUUGGGCCUAAAGCGCCCGUAGCCGGCCCGGCAAGUCCCUCCUUAAAGCCUCGGGCCCAACCCGAGGACGGGGGGGAUACUGCCGGGCUAGGGGGCGGGAGAGGCCGGCGGUACUCCCGGGGUAGGGGCGAAAUCCGUUAAUCCCGGGAGGACCACCAGUGGCGAAGGCGGCCGGCUGGAACGCGCCCGACGGUGAGGGGCGAAAGCCGGGGGAGCGAACCGGAUUAGAUACCCGGGUAGUCCCGGCUGUAAACGAUGCGGGCUAGCUGUUGGGCGGGCUUAGAGCCCGCCCAGUGGCGCAGGGAAGCCGUUAAGUCCGCCGCCUGGGGAGUACGGCCGCAAGGUUGAAACUUAAAGGAAUUGGCGGG